rnacentral:tRNA from 1 species
GUCAGAAUGGCCGAGUGGUCUAAGGCGCCAGACUCAAGUUCUGGUCCUCCAAGAGAGCGUGGGUUCGAAUCCUACUUCUGAUA